rnacentral:misc_RNA from 1 species
UGAAUCUUGUUCAUAUCCAAUGCUGUCUGCGGAAGGCCAGGAAAACGUAUCCUUAGGCUUUGUAAGAGGGUCUCAGCCCGCUGGGCCAGAAAAUUAUUCUUUUUGGUGUCAGCGACAAGGUUCUUGACCUUGCCACCCCAUGAUGAGUGCCUAACUUUUGUGAGAUUUGUCUGCUUUCUCUUAUCUUUAUGCUUCCAGAUAUGCACUGCUGCCUCAAUCCUGUUAGCUAUUUCCAGUGUGUGAUGCUCAGUUGAGAGGUCUAGGCAAUCAAGAAGACAUUCUGGCUUGAACUGCUCGGCAGUUAUGUAGCGGUAGAUGAUAUCUCCCAAGCAAGCUUUUCCACUCUUAGGUAAGGUCUCCAAGUAUACACUAGGUAUCUCCAUCUCAGCAAGCAC